rnacentral:rRNA from 1 species
CAAUAGCGUAUAUUAAAGUUGUUGCAGUUAAAAAGCUCGUAGUUGGAUUUCUGUGAGAGUGCCGGUGUCGGCUGAUGCUUGUACGCAGGCGCCCUUACAUCCUUCUGUUAACUGUUCUUGGCAUUUUAUUGCUGGUUCAGGGCUCAGAUAUUUUACCUUGAGAAAAUUAGAGUGUUUCAGGCAGGCUUAUGCCGGAAUACAUUAGCAUGGAAUAAUGGAACAGGACCUGUGCGUCUCUCGGGGCGCCGGUCUCCGUUGUUGGUUUCGGGGACUAAUGUAAUGAUUAAUAGGGAUAGUUGGGGGCAUUAGUAUUUAAUAGUCAGAGGUGAAAUUCUCGGAUUUGUUAAAGACUAACUUAUGCGAAAGCAUUUGCCAAGGAUGUUUUCAUUAA